rnacentral:misc_RNA from 1 species
CGCAACUUGCGCCCUCUGGUAUUCCGGAGGGCAUGCCUGUUUGAGUGUCAUGUAGACUCAAUCCCUCAAGGUUUUUGACCUUGUCGAGAUUGGAAUUGGACGCUGCCGGUUUACCGGCUCGUCUUAAAUGAAGUCUGUGGGGAAGGACCCAGUCAGGAGUAAUAAGUUUCUUCUGUUCCUUGGGUUUGGAACUGCUAUCCAACCACCAUAUUUUGACUCUGACCUCAAAUCAGGUAGGGCUACCCGCUGAACUUAA